AAAUUGAAGAGUUUGAUCAUGGCUCAGAUUGAACGCUGGCGGCAGGCCUAACACAUGCAAGUCGAACGGUAACAGGAAGCAGCUUGCUGCUUCGCUGACGAGUGGCGGACGGGUGAGUAAUGUCUGGGAAACUGCCUGAUGGAGGGGGAUAACUACUGGAAACGGUGGCUAAUACCGCAUAACGUCGCAAGACCAAAGAGGGGGACCUUCGGGCCUCUUGCCAUCAGAUGUGCCCAGAUGGGAUUAGCUAGUUGGUGAGGUAACGGCUCACCAAGGCGACGAUCCCUAGCUGGUCUGAGAGGAUGACCAGCCACACUGGAACUGAGACACGGUCCAGACUCCUACGGGAGGCAGCAGUGGGGAAUAUUGCACAAUGGGCGCAAGCCUGAUGCAGCCAUGCCGCGUGUAUGAAGAAGGCCUUCGGGUUGUAAAGUACUUUCAGCGGGGAGGAAGGUGUUGUGGUUAAUAACCGCAGCAAUUGACGUUACCCGCAGAAGAAGCACCGGCUAACUCCGUGCCAGCAGCCGCGGUAAUACGGAGGGUGCAAGCGUUAAUCGGAAUUACUGGGCGUAAAGCGCACGCAGGCGGUCUGUCAAGUCGGAUGUGAAAUCCCCGGGCUCAACCUGGGAACUGCAUUCGAAACUGGCAGGCUUGAGUCUUGUAGAGGGGGUAGAAUUCCAGGUGUAGCGGUGAAAUGCGUAGAGAUCUGGAGGAAUACCGGUGGCGAAGGCGGCCCCCUGGACAAAGACUGACGCUCAGGUGCGAAAGCGUGGGGAGCAAACAGGAUUAGAUACCCUGGUAGUCCACGCCGUAAACGAUGUCUACUUGGAGGUUGUGCCCUUGAGGCGUGGCUUCCGGAGCUAACGCGUUAAGUAGACCGCCUGGGGAGUACGGCCGCAAGGUUAAAACUCAAAUGAAUUGACGGGGGCCCGCACAAGCGGUGGAGCAUGUGGUUUAAUUCGAUGCAACGCGAAGAACCUUACCUGGUCUUGACAUCCACAGAACUUUCCAGAGAUGGAUUGGUGCCUUCGGGAACUGUGAGACAGGUGCUGCAUGGCUGUCGUCAGCUCGUGUUGUGAAAUGUUGGGUUAAGUCCCGCAACGAGCGCAACCCUUAUCCUUUGUUGCCAGCGAUUAGGUCGGGAACUCAAAGGAGACUGCCAGUGAUAAACUGGAGGAAGGUGGGGAUGACGUCAAGUCAUCAUGGCCCUUACGACCAGGGCUACACACGUGCUACAAUGGCGCAUACAAAGAGAAGCGACCUCGCGAGAGCAAGCGGACCUCAUAAAGUGCGUCGUAGUCCGGAUUGGAGUCUGCAACUCGACUCCAUGAAGUCGGAAUCGCUAGUAAUCGUGGAUCAGAAUGCCACGGUGAAUACGUUCCCGGGCCUUGUACACACCGCCCGUCACACCAUGGGAGUGGGUUGCAAAAGAAGUAGGUAGCUUAACCUUCGGGAGGGCGCUUACCACUUUGUGAUUCAUGACUGGGGUGAAGUCGUAACAAGGUAACCGUAGGGGAACCUGCGGUUGGAUCACCUCCUUACCUUAAAGAAGC
rnacentral:rRNA from 1 species